ACAAAACGAGUUUUGCUUGACUGGAAAAAAUGAAUGCACAUCAUAGAAGGGAUUGCUCAAGGGCUUCUAUACCUCCACAAAUACUCUAGACUAAGAAUUAUCCAUAGAGAUUUGAAAACCAGCAACAUCUUAUUAGACAGCAACAUGAAUCCAAAAAUCUCUGAUUUUGGGACAGCAAAAAUCUUUGGGGAGAAUGAAUCGGGAGCCAACACUAAUCGCAUUGUUGGGACCUACUAAUGGCUAUAUGUCUCCUGAGUAUGCCUUGAAGGGUCUCUUCUCUGAAAAAUCAGACGUCUUCAGUUUUGGAGUCAUCAUGCUAAAAAUCCUAAGCGGCAAGAACACUGGUUUUUAUCAGCCAAAUGAAUUUUCAAACCUACUAGAAUAUGCAUGGUAUCUGUGGAAAGAAGGAAGAUACUUGGAAUUACUGGAUUAAGUAGUGGCAGAACCAUGUACAGCAACAAGCGAAUUUAGACGGUGUGUGGAAGUUGUUUUGUUUUGUGUGCAAGAAAGUGCAGAAGAUAGACCAACCAUGUCAGAUGUUGUGUCGAUGCUUGG